AUUGAUUGGACAAAGGUGACCGCGAGUGGUUCUGGGACUUGGCUACGGGAACCAUGAAGGAGCGUUCCUGGCCAGCUGUUGGGAACUGCUCCUCUGCCCUGAGAUGGCUGGGCCGCUACUACUGCUUCCAGGGUAACCAAUUCCUGCGCUUCGACCCUGUCAGGGGAGAGGUGCCUCCCAGGUACCCGCGGGAUGUCCGAGACUACUUCAUGCCCUGCCCUGGCAGAGGCCAUGGACACAGGAAUGGGACUGGCCAUGGGAACAGUACCCACCAUGGCCCUGAGUAUAUGCGCUGUAGCCCACAUCUAGUCUUGUCUGCACUGACGUCUGACAACCAUGGUGCCACCUAUGCCUUCAGUGCCUCUUCUCUGCCUGGGCUUCUGCCAGCGGCCCUAGAGCAACCUAUGGUAUUCCACAGGGACCCACUACUGGCGUCUGGACACCAGCCGGGAUGGCUGGCAUAGCUGGCCCAUUGCUCAUCAGUGG
rnacentral:sRNA from 1 species